rnacentral:misc_RNA from 1 species
GAUGAAGAACGUAGCGAAAUGCGAUAAGUAAUGUGAAUUGCAGAAUUCAGUGAAUCAUCGAAUCUUUGAACGCACAUUGCGCCCGCUAGUAUUCUAGCGGGCAUGCCUGUCCGAGCGUCAUUUCAACCAUCAAGCCCCAGGCUUGUGUUGGAGCCCUGCGGCCGUCCGCAGCCUCCUAAAAUCAGUGGCGGGCUCGCUAUCACACCGAGUGCAGUAGUUUACUCUUCGCUCAGGACGUGUAGCGGGUUCCGGCCGUGAAACCCCCCAAUUUUCAAGGUUGACCUCGGAUCAGGUAGGAAUACCCGCUGAACUUAAGCAUAUCAAUAAGCGGAGGA